rnacentral:misc_RNA from 1 species
GAUGAAGAACGUAGCGAAAUGCUAUAAGUAAUGUGAAUUGCAGAAUUCAGUGAAUCAUCGAGUCUUUGAACGCACAUUGCGCCCCCUGGUAUUCCGGGGGGCAUGCCUGUCCGAGCGUCAUUGCCGCCCUCAAGCACGGCUUGUGUGUUGGGCCCCCGCCCCCCGGCUUCGGGGGGCGGGCCCGAAAGGCAGCGGCGGCACCGCGUCCGGUCCUCGAGCGUAUGGGGCUUCGUCACCCGCUCUGUAGGCCCGGCCGGCGCCCGCCGGCGACCCCAAUCAAUCUUUCCAGGUUGACCUCGGAUCAGGUAGGGAUACCCGCUGAACUUAAGCAUAUCAAUAAGCGGAGGA